GACGAACGCUGGCGGCGUGCCUAAUACAUGCAAGUUGAGCGCUGAAGGUUGGUACUUGUACCAACUGGAUGAGCAGCGAACGGGUGAGUAACGCGUGGGGAAUCUGCCUUUGAGCGGGGGACAACAUUUGGAAACGAAUGCUAAUACCGCAUAAAAACUUUAAACACAAGUUUUAAGUUUGAAAGAUGCAAUUGCAUCACUCAAAGAUGAUCCCGCGUUGUAUUAGCUAGUUGGUGAGGUAAAGGCUCACCAAGGCGAUGAUACAUAGCCGACCUGGGAGGGUGAUCGGCCACAUUGGGACUGAGACACGGCCCAAACUCCUACGGGAGGCAGCAGUAGGGAAUCUUCGGCAAUGGACGAAAGUCUGACCGAGCAACGCCGCGUGAGUGAAGAAGGUUUUCGGAUCGUAAAACUCUGUUGGUAGAGAAGAACGUUGGUGAGAGUGGAAAGCUCAUCAAGUGACGGUAACUACCCAGAAAGGGACGGCUAACUACGUG
rnacentral:rRNA from 1 species